rnacentral:tRNA from 1 species
UAAAAGUUAGUUUAAAUUGUAGAAUGGCCGGCUGUUAACCGGAGGGUGGGACUUUUAG